UGUGAUCACCUAUCCUCCUUGACUACUCGGGUGUGUUCUUUCCUCUCUCUUCUCUCUCUUAUUUUAUGUUUGUUUCUUUCAUUGAGGACAUUGCAUAUUUUAAGUGUGGGGGAGAGAAUACUUUAUUUUCUUUGUUUUUGUUCUUUGUUUUGUUUUGUUUUUGUUUUCUUUCAAAAAAAGAAAUGCAUUUUUGUUGAAAGUUUUAGGCUAUAGAAUAAUUUGAGGUUGGUUUGUAGAGACUUGGGAAAAGUUCACA
rnacentral:lncRNA from 1 species